UUUUGGGGGGGGGGGUGAUUUCUGUCUCCUCUGACACAGAAACAUUUAGAGGUAGAUCCAGAAUUUCUGCAAACUACGUGAGGCACACUAUUUACGUUGUCGUUUCAAAGUUUAAGCCUGACCAAAUUCUACCUGAAGCAGAUAAGGGGUGGAUGGGCUUAUCUUUAAAACUAUUUUGAUCAAUAAAUUUAUGUAUUAAGCAUAAACGAUCAUAAACACUUAGCAGUUCACUCGAUCCAUCAUAUUUGAAAGUGAAACGGUAAACGCAUUGAUUUUACGGAUCCAAUAAAAAGUAUAUAACAAGAUUGAGUUGUCUAUCUUUUUCCAUCAAUUUUCAAAUUAGCUGAAAACCAGUUCAACAGAAAACCAGCAAAUAUUGUAUAUGGUCAAGGACGAUUGAAGAUGUCAAGAAAAAGGACGCACACAAUGCAUGUUGUAAACAUAAAAUAGGACGAGCAGCACAACCUAUUACGGUACUUGCUAUAAUUCGUUUUGUUGCUCCGGUUAUACUGGAUCGUCUUGUUCACAAGCCAUAUGUAAUGGGAUUACUUCUUGUCCAAACGGAGGAACAUGUGCAUCUCCAAACGCUUGUGUAUGUGCCCCAGGAUUUGGAGGAUCUCAAUGCUCAGAUAUCAACGAAUGUCAGACAGGAACAGAUAACUGCCAGCAGAAUUGUACCAAUACGCAUGGAUCAUUUACAUGUUCUUGGGAAUCUUGAUACAUAAUGAACAGCGAUGGUGCAACAUGUACAGAUAACAACGAAUGUCAGAUAGGAACAGAUAACUGCCAGCAGCUUUGUACCAAUACGCAUGGAUCAUUCGCAUGCUCUUGUGAAUCUGGAUACACAAUGAACAGCGAUGGUGCAACAUGAACAGAUAAAGAUGAAUGUCUCGACAUUAAUGGAGGCUGUAGUGAGUAUUGUAGGAAUCUAAAUGGAUCAUAUGAAUGUUACUGCAAAAAGGGAUUGCAUCUAGCAAGUGACAGCAAAACAUGCAUAGUUUCAGAAAAAAAAAUCGAUCCAUCGCUAUGAAUAUGAUGAACAUGGGAAUACUUUUAAAAUGCCAUAAGUAUUAUACUUACGCUUGCAAUAUGCAAUUGUUGAUAAACAAUGUAAUACACAUUAUAGAUCGCAUCUAGUCGAUCAGCAGCGUAAAUUUUCAACGUCUCGUGUGUUCUUUAUAUAGAUACAUACAUAUAACAGCAAACGAUAUCCAGUAUUACCGCGUAAUCUCAGCAGACUCGAUUUAUGGUUAAAGGUUAUGUUGGAAAUUCGAAUUCCAAGCAAUACAUUUAAUCUUAAUGUUCGAUAAAACAAUGUAUCAUGAAAUUAACUUACUGUCCUCGACGGAGGCAACAUUGGUGAUGUACACUGUCUUGAAAAACUGGACCUCGACGAAUGUUGAAACAUCUACAAACAAUGCAGGAAGGACAUGUCAUAGGAAUAUUUAUAAAUUACUCGCUUCUCUAAAAUAACUUAACGUAGGAAAAAUUGCUUUACAUUUUAAUUUCUUAUUUGCUUGACAACUAGAAUUGGUAGUCUACAGAGUACAGUUAUUUAUAUAAAGAAACCAGUUUUAGUUUUAUUUUGAGAGAAGAGAGGUGAAAGAUACCAGUGAGAUAUUUAAACUCAUAAGACAAAAAAAAAAAAAAAAACAAACCUGAAAAAC